rnacentral:rRNA from 1 species
UACGUAGGGGCUAGCGUUGUCCGGAAUCAUUGGGCGUAAAGCGCGCGUAGGCGGCCCGGUAAGUCCGCUGAUGAAAGUCAAAGGGCUCAACCCUUUGAAUGUCAGCGGAUACUGCCGGGCUAGAGUCCGGAAGAGGCGAGUGGAACUCCUGGUGUAGCGGUGGAAUGCGCAGAUAUCAGGAAGAACACCAAUGGCGAAGGCAGCUCUCUGGGACGGUACUGACACUGAGACGCGAAAGCGUGGGGAGCAACAGG